AGUGAACGCUGGCGGUAUGCCUAACACAUGCAAGUCGAACGGCAGCACAGUAAGAGCUUGCUCUUACGGUUGGCGAGUGGCGGACGGGUGAGGAAUACAUCGGAAUCUACUUUUUCGUGGGGGAUAACGUAGGGAAACUUACGCUAAUACCGCAUACGACCUACGGGUGAAAUCAGGGGAUCUUCGGACCUUUCGCGAUUGUAUUAGCCGAUGUCGCAUUAGCUAGUUGGCUGGGUAAAGGCCCACCAAGGCGACGAUCCGUAGCUGGUCUGAGAGGAUGAUCAGCCACACUGGAACUGAGACACGGUCCAGACUCCUACGGGAGGCAGCAGUGGGGAAUAUUGGACAAUGGGCGAAAGCCUGAUCCAGCAACACCGCGUGGGUGAAGAAGGCCUUCGGGUUGUAAAGCCCUUUUGUUGGGAAAGAAAAGCAGCAGGUUAAUACCCCGCUGUUCUGACGGUACCCAAAGAAUAAGCACCGGCUAACUUCGUG
rnacentral:rRNA from 1 species